GACGGAGGAUGCAAGCGUUAUCCGGAAUGAUUGGGCGUAAAGCGUCCGCAGGUGGCUCUGUAAGUCUGUCGUUAAAGAAUGGGGCUCAACCCCAUACAGGCGAUGGAAACUACAAGGCUAGAGUUUGGUAGGGGUCACGGGAAUUCCUAGUGUAGCGGUGAAAUGCGUAGAUAUUAGGAAGAACACCAGCGGCGAAAGCGCGUGACUGGGCCAGUACUGACACUCAUGGACGAAAGCUAGGGGAGCGAAAGGG
rnacentral:rRNA from 1 species